AGCGAACGCUGGCGGCGUGCCUAACACAUGCAAGUCGAACGGUUCUGUUGGGGGCUUGCUCUCGACAGAGUAGUGGCAAACGGGUGAGUAACACGUGGGUAAUCUUCCUUCGAGUGAGGAAUAACUUCGGGAAACCGGAGCUAAUACCGCAUAACAUCUUGGAACGGCAGUUUCAAGAUCAAAGGGGGCGCAAGCUCCCGCUUGAAGUUGAGCUCGCGUCCUAUCAGCUAGUUGGUGAGGUAAUGGCUCACCAAGGCUCCGACGGGUAGCCGGCCUGAGAGGGUGGCCGGCCACACUGGGACUGAGACACGGCCCAGACUCCUACGGGAGGCAGCAGUGGGGAAUAUUGCGCAAUGGACGAAAAUCUGACGCAGCGACGCCGCGUGGGUGAUGAAGGCCUUCGGGUCGUAAAGCCCUCGUUGAGGGAGAGAAAGCUACUGUCGGUUAAUACCGGCAGUGGUGAUAGUAUCCUAGAGAAAGCACCGGCUAACUACGUGCC
rnacentral:rRNA from 1 species